rnacentral:lncRNA from 1 species
GCUAGGGUUAGGGUUAGGGAUAGGGUUAUCGUUGAGGGUAGGGUUAGGGUUAGGGUUAGGGUUGUGGCUGAGGCUAGGGCUAGGGUUAGGGUUAGGGUUAUGGUGAUUUUUGAGGCUAGGGUUAGGGUUAGGGUCACGGUUGUGGUUGAGGCUAGGGUUAGGGUUAGGGUGAGAGAGCUUUUCGAGGCUAGGCUUAGGGUUAGGGUUAUGGUUAUGGUUGAGGCUAGGGUUAGGGUUAGCGUUAUGGUUGAGGCUAGGGUUAGGGUUUUGGCUGAGGCUAGGGUUAGGGUUACGUUUGAGGCUAGGGUUAGGGUUAGGGUUGUGGUUGAGGCUAAGGUUAGGGUUAGGGUUAGGGUUAUGGUUGAGGCUAGGGUUAGGGUUAGGGUUGUGGUUGAGGCUAGGGUUAGGGUUAGGGUUAGGGUUAUGGUUGAGGCUAAGGUUAGGGUUAGGGUUGUGGCUGAGCCUAGGGUUAGGGUUAGGGUUAGGGUUAGGGUUUUGGCUGAGGCUAGGGUUAGGGUUAGGGUUAGAGUUAUGUAUGAGGCUAGGGUUAGGGUUAGGGUUAGAGUGAUGUUUGAGGCCAGGGCUAGGGUUAGGGUUAGGGUUGUGAUUGAGGCUAGGGUUAGGGUUAGGGUUAGGGUUGUGGUUGAGGCCAGGGUUAGGGUUAGGGUUAGGGUUGUGGUUGAGGCUAGGGUUAGGGUUGGGGUUAGGGUUACGGUUGAGGCUAGGGUUAGGGUUAGGGUUAGGGUUGUGGUUGAGGCUAGGGUUAGGGUUAGGGUUAGGGUUAUGGUUGAGGCUAGGGUUAGGGUUAGGGUUACGGUUAUGGCUGAGGCUAGGGUUAGGGUUAGGGUUAGGGUUGUGGCUGAGGCCAGGGUUAGGGUUAGGGUUAGGGUUAGGGUUAGAGAGAUAUUUGGGGCUAGGGUUAGUGUUAGGGUUGUGGUUGAGGCUAGGGUUAGGGUUAGGGUUAGGGUUAGAGUUAUGUUUGAGGCUAGGGUUAGGGUUAGAGUGAUGUUUGAGGCCAGGGCUAGGGUUAGGGUUAGGGUUGUGGUUGAGGGUAGGGUUAGGGUUAGGGUUAGGGUUAUUGUUGAGGCUAGGGUUAGGGUUACGGUUGUGGCUAGGGUUAGGGUUAGGGUUAGGAUUAUGGUGAUUUUUGAGGCUAGGGUUAGGGUUAGGGUUAGAGUGACGUUUGAGGCUAGGGUUAGGGUUAGGGUUGUGGUUGAGGCUAGGGCUAGGGUUAGAGUUAGAGUUAUGUUUGAGGCUAGGGUUAGGGUUAGGGUUAUAGUGAUGUUUGAGGACAGGGCUAGGGUUAGGGUUAGUGUUGUGGUUGAGGCUAGGGUUAGGGCUAGGGUUAUUGUUGAGGCUAGGGUUAGGGUUACAGUUGUGGCUAGGGUUAGGGUUAGGGUUAGGGUUAGGGUUGUGGUUGAGGCUAGGGUUAGGGUUAGGGUUAGAGUGAUGUUUGAGGCUAGGGUUAGGGUUAGGGUUAGGGUUGUGGUUGAGGCUAGGGUUAGGGUUAGGGUUAGGGUUCGAGAGAUAUUUGGGGCUAGGGUUAGGGUUAGGGUUAGGGUUGUGAUUGAGGCUAGGGUUAGGGUUGUGGUUGAGGCCAGGGUUAGGGUUAGGGUUAGGGUUAGGGUUGUGGUUGAGGCUAGGGUUAGGGUUAGGGUAAGGGUUACGGUUGAGGCUAGGGUUAGGGUAAGGGUUAGGGUUAGGGUUAUGGUUGAGGCUAGGGUUAGGGUUACGGUUGAGGCUGAGGCUAGGGUUAGGGUUAGGGUUAGGGUUGUGGCUGAGGCCAGGGUUAGGGUUAGUGUUAGGGUUAGAGAGAUAUUUGGGGCUAGGGUUAGGGUUAGGGUUGUGACUGAGGCUAGGGUUAGGGUUAGGGUUAGGGUUGUGGUUGAGGCUAGGGUUAGGGUUAGGGUUGUGGUUGAGGCUAGGGUUAGGGUUAGGGUUAUGGUUGAGGCUAGGGUUAGGGUUAGUUUUAGGGUUGUGGUUGAGGCUAGGGUUAGGGUUAGGGUUAGAGUUAUGUUUGAGGCUAGGGUUAGGGUUAGGGUUAGGGUUGUGGCUGAGGCUAGGGUUAGGGUUAGGGUUAGGGUUAUUGUUGAGGCUAGGGUUAGGGUUACGGUUGUGGCUAGGGUUAGGGUUAGGGUUAGGGUUAUGGUGAUUUUUGAGGCUAGGGUUAGGGUUAGGGUUAGAGUGAUGUUUGAGGCUAGGGUUAGGGUUAGGGUUAGGGUUGUG